rnacentral:snRNA from 1 species
GUGCUCGCUUCGGCAGCACAUAUACUAAAAAAUUGGAACGAUACAGAGAAGAUUAGCAUGGCCACUGCGCAAGGAUGACACGCAAAUUCGUGAAGUGUUGCAUAUUUUG